UACGAAGGGGGCUAGCGUUGCUCGGAAUCACUGGGCGUAAAGGGUGCGUAGGCGGGUCUUUAAGUCAGGGUGAAAUCCUGGAGCUCAACUCCAGAACUGCCUUUGAUACUGGGAGUCUCGAGUUCGGGAGAGGUGAGUGGAACUGCGAGUGUAGAGGUGAAUUCGUAGAUAUUCGCAAGAACACCAGUGGCGAAGGCGGCUCACUGGCCCGAUACUGACGCUGAGGUGCG
rnacentral:rRNA from 1 species